UACAGAGGGUGCGAGCGUUGUUCGGAAUUACUGGGCGUAAAGCGCGGGCAGGCGGCUCGAAACGUCUGAUGUGAAAUCUCCUCGCUCAACGGGGAGAGGCCAUUGGAAACGGUCGGGCUGGAGGGCAGUAGAGGCAGGCGGAAUUCCGGGUGGAGUGGUGAAAUGCGUAGAGAUCCGGAGGAACACCAGAGGCGAAGGCGGCCUGCUGGGCUGCACCUGACGCUGAACCGCGAAAGCCAGGGGAGCGAACGGG
rnacentral:rRNA from 1 species